rnacentral:rRNA from 1 species
CGUAGGGUGCAGGCGUUAAUCGGAAUUACUGGGCGUAAAGCGUGCGCAGGCGGUUUCUUAAGUCAGAUGUGAAAGCCCCGGGCUUAACCUGGGAACUGCGUUUGAAACUGGGAGACUUGAGUGUGGCAGAGGGGGGUGGAAUUCCACGUGUAGCAGUGAAAUGCGUAGAUAUGUGGAGGAACACCGAUGGCGAAGGCAGCCCCCUGGGUUAACACUGACGCUCAUGCACGAAAGCGUGGGGAGCAAACAGGAUUAGAUACCCUGGUAGUCCACGCCCUAAACUAUGUCAACUGGUUGUCGGGGGAUUGACUCCCUUGGUAACGAAGCUAACGCGUGAAGUUGACCGCCUGGGGAGUACGGCCGCAAGGUUA